rnacentral:rRNA from 1 species
GACGAACGCUGGCGGCGUACUUAACACAUGCAAGUCGAACGGAAAGGCCCUGCUUUUGUGGGGUGCUCGAGUGGCGAACGGGUGAGUAACACGUGAGUAACCUGCCCUUGACUUUGGGAUAACUUCAGGAAACUGGGGCUAAUACCGGAUAGGAGCUCCUGCUGGAUGGUGGGGGUUGGAAAGUUUCGGCGGUUGGGGAUGGACUCGCGGCUUAUCAGCUUGUUGGUGGGGUAGUGGCUUACCAAGGCUUUGACGGGUAGCCGGCCUGAGAGGGUGACCGGCCACAUUGGGACUGAGAUACGGACCAGACUCCUACGGGAGGCAGCAGUGGGGAAUAUUGCACAAUGGGCGGAAGCCUGAUGCAGCAACGCCGCGUGCGGGAUGACGGCCUUCGUGUUGUAAACCGCUUUCGCCUGUGACGAAGCGUGAGUGACGGUAAUGGGUAAAGAAGCACCGGCUAACUACGUG